rnacentral:rRNA from 1 species
CUACGGGAGGCAGCAGUGAGGAAUAUUGCGCAAUGGGGGAAACCCUGACGCAGCGACGCCGCGUGGAUGAUGAAGGCCUUAGGGUCGUAAAAUCCUGUCAGGUGGGAAGAAGUGGAUAUAGAUUAAUACUCUAUUUCUUUGACGGUACCACCAAAGGAAGCACCGGCUAACUCCGUGCCAGCAGCCGCGGUAAUACGGAGGGUGCAAACGUUGUUCGGAAUUACUGGGCGUAAAGCGCGCGUAGGCGGUUUGUUAAGUCAGAUGUGAAAGUCCAUGGCUCAACUAGGGAAGUGCAUUUGAAACUGGCAGACUUGAGUACGGGAGGGGGUGAUGGAAUUCCCGGUGUAGAGGUGAAAUUCGUAGAUAUCGGGAGGAAUACCGGUGGCGAAGGCGAUCACCUGGCCAGAUACUGACGCUGAGGUGCGAAAGCGUGGGGAGCAAACAGGAUUAGAUACCCGGGUAGUC